GUGAGUAACACGUGGGUGAUCUGCCCUGCACUCUGGGAUAAGCCUGGGAAACUGGGUCUAAUACCGGAUAUGAGCUCUUGUCGCAUGGCGGGGGUUGGAAAGGUUUACUGGUGCAGGAUGGGCCCGCGGCCUAUCAGCUUGUUGGUGGGGUAAUGGCCUACCAAGGCGACGACGGGUAGCCGGCCUGAGAGGGCGACCGGCCACACUGGGACUGAGACACGGCCCAGACUCCUACGGGAGGCAGCAGUGGGGAAUAUUGCACAAUGGGCGAAAGCCUGAUGCAGCGACGCCGCGUGAGGGAUGACGGCCUUCGGGUUGUAAACCUCUUUCAGCAGGGACGAAGCGAGAGUGACGGUACCUGCAGAAGAAGCACCGGCCAACUACGUGCCAGCAGCCGCGGUAAUACGUAGGGUGCGAGCGUUGUCCGGAAUUACUGGGCGUAAAGAGCUCGUAGGCGGUUUGUCGCGUCGUCCGUGAAAACUUGGGGCUCAACCCCAAGCUUGCGGGCGAUACGGGCAGACUUGAGUACUGCAGGGGAGACUGGAAUUCCUGGUGUAGCGGUGAAAUGCGCAGAUAUCAGGAGGAACACCGGUGGCGAAGGCGGGUCUCUGGGCAGUAACUGACGCUGAGGAGCGAAAGCGUGGGUAGCGAACAGGAUUAGAUACCCUGGUAGUCCACGCCGUAAACGGUGGGCGCUAGGUGUGGGUUUCCUUCCACGGGAUCCGUGCCGUAGCUAACGCAUUAAGCGCCCCGCCUGGGGAGUACGGCCGCAAGGCUAAAACUCAAAGGAAUUGACGGGGGGCCCGSCACAAGCGGCGGAGCAUGUGGAUU
rnacentral:rRNA from 1 species